UUGUCAGACCUCGGCCGACCAGAGAUGUCCACCAUGGGACGGGUGGUGAUCGUCACUCCGUCAGAGAAGGACGGUAUGAGAAGACCUCCCACGAGAGGAAGGAGGGAGGGAAGGAAUGAAGCUCUGGAGGAGGGGGGGGGGACGGAGAGGAUGAGAGCAUGGAGACCCAGGAGUGAACUUCUACCACAAACAGCCUCCUCAGACGUGGAGACGCAGUAACCUGGACACAAACACCAGCAGGAAAAUGUUCCCACUCCCUGGCCUCAUUUUUUGUGUCUGUUUUUACUUUCCUUUUGUUACUGUAACAACUUGAAUUAAACACAUUUUGUUUUUAUUUA